AUCUAGAGAUGGGAAUCGAACCCACAGUGUUCCGCUUACCGGAAAGAUGCCAUGUCCACUAGACUACCCUAAA
rnacentral:tRNA from 1 species